UACGAAGGGGGCUAGCGUUGCUCGGAAUCACUGGGCGUAAAGGGUGCGUAGGCGGGUCUUUAAGUCAGGGGGGAAAUCCUGGAGCUCAACUCCAGAACUGCCUUUGAUACUGAAGAUCUUGAGUCCGGGAGAGGUGAGUGGAACUGCGAGUGUAGAGGUGAAAUUCGUAGAUAUUCGCAAGAACGCCAGUGGCGAAGGCGGCUCACUGGCCCGGUACUGACGCUGAGGCACGAAAGCGUGGGGAGCAAACAGG
rnacentral:rRNA from 1 species